GCUUACGGCCAUACCAGCUUAGGCACGCCCGAUCUCGUAUGAUCUCGGAAGCUAAGCAGGGUCGGGCCUGGUUAGUACUUGGAUGGGUGACCGCCUGGGAAUACCAGGUGCUGUAAGCA
rnacentral:rRNA from 1 species